UCCUCCGUAGCUCAGUUGGUAGAGCGGGUGGCUGUUAACCACCUUGUCGUAGGUUCGAGUCCUGCCGGGGGAGCCA
rnacentral:tRNA from 1 species